rnacentral:lncRNA from 1 species
AUGUCCUUUGGUCAAUAUCUAGAGACUUUAAAUUGUUAUUUUCUACUAUUUUGUCCAGCUUCAUUAUUGUCUGUUAAAAGAAGACUUACUAAGCUCCUCACACAGCCAUUCUGGAUGUCCUUAUCCCCAGGGAGACCAUCUAUGCCUACACCAGAUCUCCUUAUUAGUCCUGUGAACCCAUUCUCUAGUUCUAUGUACUUUGGAUCCAAUGACUUGCAUCUACGAGAACUCUCUUUAGAAGACCACCUUUGGGCAUCUGAAGUUGUUUCGUCAGCAUACAGCAAAGAGCCAGAAGUGAGUGGCUAGAAAUUCUCACCCAUCUGGAGCAGCGCAUUGCAAACAAUUGAUUGGAGUAAGACUGUGAAAUCCUAGUUGAUACAGGGGCACAAAUUUUGAUGUGUAAUUUAUGCUUGAGUGAGCCUACAGAGUGAGGCUGACUGAGUUUGAGACUUUGCCUGAAAUAAUAACUUUGCUUGCCUUCUCUUUCUUUCCUCUCCUGGUUUCCUCUACUCUGUUAUCAAUUUAUCUUGAGAGUGCUUUCUUACUAAAUCACUUGCACAGGCAUAAGUUUCUUGGGGUCUUAAUGGGAAACUGGUCUAAGCCACUGUAGUUUACAAACUAGGAAGCAUAAUGGUCCAACACACACUGAGCAGGUGUAAGGCUCUCUUUUAGAUUCUUAGACUGAGGAGAACACAUAGAAGAUUGUUCCCCAUUAGGGGUAAAGAGAAUAUAUCCAAUCUUACAAGGUUUUAUGGGAAAUAUAUAAGUGGAGAUAAGAAAUGAUACAGAAGACAGAAAUACAAACAAGAUCAAUUUAUGAUACAUAAAAAAGACAAAGCUUUCUGAAUCCCACGCAUCAAUUUAUGAUACCUAAAAAAGACAAAGCUUUCUGAAUCCCAUGCAUCAAAGGGAAGUACAAAAGGAGAAACUAAAGGUAAUAUAUGAGCCAUAUCUUGUAAACAUCUAUUUUCUCUACUUCAGAUUGCUCUUGCUCAAAAUCCUACCAAGACUAAAUUGUUGUGGAAACAAAUACCAUGAACUCAAAAUAAUUCUAGAAAAUCUGAUUUUUGCUGUUAAUCUUCAUGCAGGAAGAGUAGAUGGGAGAAGGAAAUAGAUAUGUCUGAACUCCCCAGUCUUUUUGAUAUAUUGGAGUUACAAAAGUUCUUUCAUACACUCACAUGGAAUUAGUUUAGUAAAUUGAGCAAGAGGAUAGAGUAUUUUUACAAGAAAUAUCUUUAUCUGUGGUGGGCUCGAGAUUUCUUUUACUGAGAACUGUCUGUUUUCUGUGGUCAGCGUUUCCUUGGAUAUAGAGGUGGUACAUGGCAAGGGUACCUUUUGACACAAGCUAGCUUGUGCGUGGGGUAUUUUGUAACACAAGGGAGCUUCAAAAGAAGUUUCUUGGGAUAAAUGGAAGUUUUGCACAAUAGUAUCUUAGGACACAAGGAAGUAAGAGAGACAGGAAAUCACACAGGUACUUAUGAACCUCAUUAAAAAAGAGGAACACUAAUAUAGCCAGUAUUCCAAGAGACUAGACCAGGAAGGUCUUUCAAGAGUAAAGUCAGUGCUAGGCAUCAGAUUAUUGUAUGGUACUACUGAUUUCCACUUUAGCCAUCUGUCAUAAACAUGAUCCACUAUUCCUUGGUUUAAGGUUCUCUUUUUUUUUGUUACAGUCAAAUGAUUGACUUUAUCUCUGUACUUCCAGUUCUGAAUACAGGCAUACCUUGGAGAUAUUGCCGGUUCACUUCUAGACCACUGCAAUGAAGCAAAGAUUGCAAUAAAGUGAGUCACAUGAAUUUUGGUUUCCA